UACGUAGGGUGCAAGCGUUGUCCGGAAUUAUUGGGCGUAAAGAGCUCGUAGGCGGUCUGUCGCGUCGGAUGUGAAAACUCGGGGGCUCAACCCCCGAGCCUGCAUUCGAUACGGGCAGACUAGAGUUCGGUAGGGGAGACUGGAAUUCCUGGUGUAGCGGUGAAAUGCGCAGAUAUCAGGAGGAACACCGGUGGCGAAGGCGGGUCUCUGGGCCGAUACUGACGCUGAGGAGCGAAAGCGUGGGGAGCGAACAGG
rnacentral:rRNA from 1 species